CCUAAGUUACUUGACCUUUCUGGACCUCAGUCUGUAAUAUUCUCAUAGGAUUGUUGGAAAUUUUAAGUACCAUCUAGGGAAAAUGCUUAAUACGGUGGGGGUGGGGUGCUUUUCUUGUUUCCUUUUUUUUUUUUUGGCUGUGCUGGGUCUUUGUUGCGCAUAUAGGCUUCUCUAGUUGGGCUUAGUUGCCCCAUGGCAUGUGGGAUCUUACUUCCCCGACCAGGGAUCAAACCCAUGUCUCCAACACUGGAAGGUGGAUUCUUAAUCACUGGAUCACCAGGGAAGUCUCUUGUGUGUUUUCCUAGACUGAAUGAUCAUAUGCAAAGAAAUACAAUUAGCCUUGAAGUCAGAGCUUGAAAGGAAUAAGGUAUAGAAAACCUGCUACACCUGGUGGUCAGAACUUUAGUGUCUUUCCUGAUCAAGGGUUCAUGUUGAAGGUGCAGUGGGUCUCUGGUUUUCAUUGGGAAACCAUUCAUCUCCUACUUGGAGUUGAUCCAAGGGUGAACACAUGACCCAAGCCUGGCCAGACAGCAUUUUUUAACACCCAGACAUAGACAUGUAAGUCCAUCCAACCAGAGUCAGUCCUGGAUCUUUCGAUGGAACUUAGGAAAUCCAGAAGCUCUCUGUCUGCUAGAUGCAUGCCAGGAGCUGCUGACAGUCAUCUUGCCACCCUGAGAGAAGACGUUCUUGAAGAUGGAGCCAUCACAGACUGGAGAAUGAGGAGAUGGAGUGCAGGAAAGUGAAAAGUGAAAGUGAAGUCGCUCAGUCGUGUCUGACCCUCAGCGACCCAAUGGACUGCAGCCUUCCAGGCUCCUCCAUCCAUGGGAUUUUCCAGGCACCAGAAAAGUGGAGCAAGGCUACCACCAUCCUCACAGGACUAACCCGAAAGUUUAACCAAGGGAUAAAAAUGCUUCAAAGUUGACAACGGGGUGAUCAGGGACAGAAGAGCACAGCCACGCGGGAGAGAAGCUUCCAGUUCUCACAGGAGGCAAGGGCGACACUCAACAGCAGUUCAUGCUCUCAGGAACUUCGGGUUUUCAGUGCAAAGAUAAAACAAUCCUACUGACGGACCUGCUUGAAGAAGGCAGCCUCACUUCUCCUAAUUCUUGACUGCUGUUGUAAGGGGUUCCUUUUCCCCAAACAGUGGGACUUGUGACCUGACUUAGUGUAUGAUACUUUCCUAGUAUCCUUGGAAGUCGUUAAAACCUGUUACCCAAUUAACAGCCAUGCUCAUAAAUGCAUAUUUUCUUAAUAGGAAAAGCACAGGGCUUCCUUCAACAACAAUUAUAGUAUCAGUGGGUAACCUGUCUGGAGAGGCUUCCUAUGAUGCUGGACAUCAUUCUAAGCAGUUUUUUCUUGUUUUGCUACACCACUCUGCAUGUGGGAUCUUAGUUCCCCAACCAGGGAUUGAACCCAUGCCCCUUAUAUUUGAAGGGGGGGAAUCUUAACUGCUGGACCACCCUGGAAGUCCUUUAAGUCCUUAUCAAAAGUCAGUGCAGUGGGGACUAUCUUACAGAAGACAUAAUGGAGGCACAGAGAGGUUAAAUAAAUUGCCAAAAGCCACACAGCUCACCUCGAUCAUCACCUCUGUGUCCAGAGGCCUUCCUAAUGACAAUACAGGCAUCUCCAGAUAAGACUGUGGACUAGGAAACCCUUGCCCUCUCCUGGCCUGAUUUAUAGACCUGGCUGUGAGAGUUUGACAGCCCUGACGAACAGGGCUGCUGAGCACGCUGGUGGCCAGUUGGAAAAAUACACGAAGCCAGGGAGUGGAAGGAGGCCUGGCCGCCUGGUGGGCUCUGAGUCACAUAGGUCAGCGGGAGCUGGCCCACUCAGCCUGUCACCCUCAGCUGUCUCUCUGCUGCACACGGAGCCAGGGCUUGGAGAUGGGAACUGCGAUUUAUAAGCUCUCAGGCAAAAUCAACUUUCGGGUGAAGAAAACCCACAUACCCGGUAGGUUCCCCUGGCUUCUGACUAUCUGACGGCACCCGGGCCACUGGGAGGACUGUCUUGACAUUGGUUCAGU
ensembl:lncRNA